rnacentral:rRNA from 1 species
UACGGGGGGGGUAAGCGUUGUUCGGAAUUACUGGGCGUAAAGGGCUCGUAGGCGGCCAACUAAGUCGGACGUGAAAUCCCUCAGCUUAACUGGGGAACUGCGUCGGAUACUGGAUGGCUUGAAUUCGGGAGAGGGAUGCAGAAUUCCAGGUGUAGCGGUGAAAUGCGUAGAUAUCUGGAGGAAUACCGGUGGCGAAGGCGGCAUCCUGGACCGACAUUGACGCUGAACGGCGAAAGCUAGGGGAGCAAACGGG